rnacentral:rRNA from 1 species
CACCAGACUCCUACGGGAGGCAGCAGUGAGGAAUAUUGGUCAAUGGCCGAGAGGCUGAACCAGCCAAGUCGCGUGAGGGAAGACGGCCCUACGGGUUGUAAACCUCUUUUGUCGGGGAGCAAAGCGAACCACGUGUGGUUCAUUGAGAGUACCCGAAGAAAAAGCAUCGGCUAACUCCGUGCCAGCAGCCGCGGUAAUACGGAGGAUGCGAGCGUUAUCCGGAUUUAUUGGGUUUAAAGGGUGCGUAGGCGGAAUGCCAAGUCAGCGGUAAAAUCGCGGGGCUCAACCUCGCUCCGCCGUUGAAACUGGCGAACUCGAGAGGGAGAGAAGUAGGCGGAAUGCGCAGUGUAGCGGUGAAAUGCAUAGAUAUCACGCAGAACUCCGAUUGCGAAGGCAGCAUACCGGCGCUCAACUGACGCUCAUGCACGAAAGCGUGGGUAUCGAACAGGAUUAGAUACCCUUGUAGG